UACGAAGGGGGCUAGCGUUGCUCGGAAUCACUGGGCGUAAAGGGUGCGUAGGCGGGUCUUUAAGUCAGGGGUGAAAUCCUGGAGCUCAACUCCAGAACUGCCCUUGAUACUGAAGGUCUUGAGUUCGGGAGAGGUGAGUGGAACUGCGAGUGUAGAGGUGAAAUUCGUAGAUAUUCGCAAGAACACCAGUGGCGAAGGCGGCUCACUGGCCCGAUACUGACGCUGAUGCACGAAAGCGUGGGGAGCGAACAGG
rnacentral:rRNA from 1 species